UUGUGGAGGAGGACGCCGAAGGUGGGGCUAAUGACUGGGGUGAAGUCGUAACAAGGUAGCCGUACCGGAAGGUGCGGCUGGAUCACCUCCUAACAGGGAGACAACAAAAUGUUUAAUAUUAUUUUGUCACCUUAGGUCGAUCGGUAUCUCACAUUCUUAAUUUAUUAAGGAUUUCAUUUCCUAAGUUUUUCUAGGUCACACCCAUUAUUUCCUGGGCCAUUAGCUCAGGUGGUUAGAGCGCACCCCUGAUAAGGGUGAGGUCCCUGGUUCAAGUCCAGGAUGGCCCAUAUCUCUAUGUUGGGGGUAUAGCUCAGUUGGUAGAGCGCCUGCUUUGCAAGCAGGAUGUCAGCGGUUCGAGUCCGCUUACCUCCACCGAUUACCACCUCUUUCAUAAACUUAUAGAAAGGAAAUGUUUUGUGUUGUGAUCAAAUUCUGAACGAAUCUAGCUUCCUAAUGAAAUCAUUAAGAUGCUGGACUCAUUGAAUUAUUUUCAUUGUUUUCAGAGAACCUUGACAACUGCAUAGAUUUUUUUAAAGACAAUAAGCAUCUUUUAUGAUGCAGAUUUAUUAUUUGUGCGAAUGCAUUAAUAACAAUUCUAUUAAGCUGAUGCUUCAAUUUUGAAGUUAUUGGUCAAGCUACAA
rnacentral:misc_RNA from 1 species